rnacentral:lncRNA from 1 species
UGAUUCCUAACGGUUUUGUCAGAUGCAAUAUACGUAUGAUUUGCGUUGGAGGUGAGCUAGUAUCCAUCUAGCUCUUCUUCUUCCCUAAGCUCUCUCUCUCUCAUUUUUCUUCAGAUUACAUUUCUCAUCUAAGAGUUAACAUACAAGAUAAUAGUCUCUGUGUUCUAACAUGGCAUCAGAGCCAGGUUGGAUUGUUUAGCUGGGCGUUUGAAUCUGUGAAGAAAGGAAGCUGCGUUUUGAAGCUAGUGUGUGAAGGUCUGUGUUUACCAUGGCUGGAUCUGGAUCUGGAGGCGAGGUGAGAGCGCCAAUUUUCAAUGGAAAUAAUUAUGAGUUUUGGAGCAUAAAGAUGAGAACCAUCUUCAGGUCUCAUGGAUUAUGGGAUCUGGUUGAAAAGGGAUUAGAGUGGUCAGAUUCGAAAGAAGCUGAUGAAUCUGGUGAAAAGAAGAAGGAAAAGGAAGAAUCAAAGGGAGCUAGUGAAUCUGGUGAGCAGAAGAUGAAAAGGGAUGUUUCAAGUGGCUCUGAAACAGAGAAGCUGAUGAAAGAUGCAAAGGCAUUGAGGCUGAUUCAAGGGGCAGUAUCUGAUGAGAUUUUUCCCCGGAUCUCUCAUGAAGAAACUUCUAAAGGAGCUUGGGAUCUCUUGAUGCAGGAAUUUCGAGGUGACAAACAAGUAAGAAGUGUCAAAUUACAGAGUCUGCGUAGGGAGUUUGAGUACACUAGAAUGAGAGAUGAUGAAUCCUUGUCUGCCUAUAUUACCAAACUAUUUGAUGUGAUUAAUCAAAUGCGUAGCUAUGGAGAAAUACUACCUAAAGAAAGAGUAGUACAGAAAUUGUUGAUUAGCCUACCAUCUGCUUAUGACUCUAUCUGCUCAAUUAUUGAACACUCGAGAGACUUGAAUGAGAUUGAGGUGCAGGAGGUUGUAGCCUCACUAAAGAGUUUUGAGUUGAGAUUAGAUAGACACUCUGAAAACAAAACAGAGAAGGCAUUUGCUAGCCUUAGUGUAGAUGCUGAACCGGUUAAAACUGGAGAUCAGAACAAUAAGCAGCAUAAGAAUUGGAAGUCCAAAGGCAAGAAAUGGGAUAACAAGACAAGUGAAGGCACUAAAACUCCCUUCAAGCACUGUGGUAAGUUACACUUUGGUGAGUGUCGAUUCAAGGGCAAACCAAAGUGUUAUAACUGUGAUAAGCUUGGCCACAUUGCAAAGGAUUGCUAUUGCAAGAAAACACCACAGCAGGUUAACUAUGCUACUCAAGUGGAAGCUGCACCAACUAUGUUCUAUGCUGGUAAUGCAAUUGGUGCUGGUAUAACAAGGGAUGAAGAAAUCUGGUAUUUGGACAGUGGGUGUAGUAAUCACAUGACAGGAAAAGAGGACUUGCUGGUGGAUAUUGACAGAAAUGUGACUGCAAAGGUUGAAAUGGGAACUGGACAGCUUGUAGACGUAACUGGAAAAGGCACUCUUGUGGUUGAAACCAAAGUAGGCAAGAGAUAUAUCAAAGAAAUAAUGAUGGUACCUGGACUGAAAGAGAACUUACUCAGUGUGGGUCAGAUGAUAGAGCAUGGCUACUAUUUGGUAUUUGGAGAUCACAAGGUGGAAAUCUACAAUGACAGCUCUCAUUCAAAUUUGGUUGCAAAGGUACAAAUGAGAGGUAAUAAAAGCUUUCCCUUGAAACUGCAGGCUGAAAUGCACUUAGCUUAUAGAGCAAGUGUAGAUCAUUCCACUGAACUUUAGCAUAGAAGAUUUGGACAUCUCAAUAUGAGUAGUCUGAAACUGUUGAAAGAACAAGAUAUGGUAGUAGGACUACCAGAAAUUAAAGGGAUUAAAGAGGUGUGUGAGGGGUGUGUUCUAGGCAAGCAGUGUAGAGAAGCAUUUCCAAAAGAGGCUACCACUAGAACACUAUCUCCACUAGAACUCAUUCACAGUGACAUCUGUGGUCCUAUGCAGACAGUUACCAAAGCUGGAAAUCGGUUCUUUCUCACUUUCAUAGACGAUUGCACAAGGAUGUGUUGGGUUUAUUUCUUAAGACACAAGUCUGAAGCUCUAACUGUGUUUAAGAAAUUCAAGGCCACUGUGGAAUUGCAAAGUGGUUAUAAACUGAAAAAGUUGAGAAGUGAUAGAGGGGGAGAAUACACUUCAGUGGAGUUUGACAGCUUCUGUGAAGAUGUAGGAAUUGAAAGACAGCUUACAACCCCAUACACACCACAGCAAAAUGGUGUGGCAGAGAGGAAAAAUAGAACUAUAGUAGAAAUGGCCAAGUGUUUGAUGUUGGAGAAGAAAAUUACAUUUGAUUUUUGGGCUGAGGCAGUCAACAUAUCUGUGUAUAUUUUGAAUAGGUGUCCAACUAAAGCUUUGAGCAAAAAGACACCAUUCGAAGCCUAUAGUGGAAGGAAACCAAGGGUUAAGCAUCUAAAGAUAUUUGGCUCACUGUGUUAUGCUCAUGUACCAAAACAACAAAGACAGAAAUUAGAUCUUGCAAGCAAGAGGUGUAUCUUCUUGGGGUAUGGCAGCUGUGAGAAAGGUUACAGGCUGUACAAUAUUGAAACUGAGAAGGUGAUUGUUUCAAGAGAUGUAAUAUUUAGUGAAAAUGUGUGUUGGGAUUGGAAUGCAAAGAAGGAAACUAGUGUGAACAUUCAGUUCACUGGAAUCCGAGAAGAAGCACAAGGAGAAGAAGGGAGUUCUAGUGAAUUUGAAGAACAAUUGGAAGUGAAUGAGGUGCCUAGUUUAAACACUGAAAACAAAGAAAGGGUCACAGGUCCGUAGGAUGUUAAUCAUACUCCUCUCAAAUACAAGAGCAUUGCAGAAAUUUAUGAAAAAUGCAAUGCGUGCAUUAUAGAACUAGAAAGUUUUGAAGAGGCAGCAAAGGAUGACUCUUGGAAGAAAGCAAUGGAAGAUGAAAUCACCAUGAUUGAAAAGAACAAUACAUGGGAGCUUGUAGCUAGACCAUUUGAUAAACCAAUCAUUGGAGUCAAAUGGGUCUAUAAGACUAAACUAAACCUAGAUGGAUCUGUGCAGAAGAAUAAGGCUCGGCUGGUUGCAAAGGGAUAUUCUCAAAAGCCUGGAAUAGACUUUAAUGAGACCUUUGCACCAGUGGCUCGGCUUGACACUGUGAGAGCUUUGGUAGCAUUGGCUGCACAGAAAAAUUGGAAGCUUUUCCAGUUAGAUGUGAAAUCUGCCUUUCUCAAUGGAGUACUAAGUGAAGAGAUGUAUGUGGAUCAACCAUCUGGUUUUGUGAUUCAAGGAAGUGAAGAUAAGGUGUAUAGGCUUAAGAAGGCUUUGUAUGGCUUGAAGCAAGCUCCAAGAGCUUGGUAUGAAGAGAUAAAUUCCUAUUUUACUAGAGUUGGUUUUCAUAGGAGCUUAAGUGAAGCUACUUUAUACACUAAGAGGUCUCCAAGUGGUAUUCUUAUUGUGUCACUCUAUGUAGAUGACAUUAUCUAUACAGGAAGCUCGAAGGAGAUGAUGCUUGAAUUUAAGAAUGAGAUGAUGAGACAAUAUGAGAUGACAGACUUUGGAUUGCUUCAUCAUUUUCUCGGCCUUGGGGUUUUACAAACUGACACUUGCAUUUUCUUGCAUCAGAAGAAAUAUGCAAAGAGUUUGCUAGACAAGUUUGGACUCAAGGACUGCAAAUCGGUUGCAACACCAUUGGCAGUGAAUGAAAAGUUGUCUAAAGUGGAUGGGAGUGACUUAGUAGAUGAGACUUUGUAUAGACAAAUGGUAGGAAGCUUGCUCUACCUAACUGCAACAAGACCAAACAUUAUGUUUGCAUCUAGUCUUUUGGCCAGAUUCAUGCACAAUCCUACCAAGAAGCACAUGGGAACAGUGAAAAGGGUGCUAAGAUAUAUACAAGGUACUAUAAGCUAUGGCAUUGCUUAUGAGAAAGGAAAAGGAGCUGUGUUAAUUGGCUAUUGUGACAGCGAUUGGAGUGGUAGUGCAGAUGAUAUGCGAAGCACAUCAGGCUAUGCAUUUAAUUUGGGGUCAGGAGUGUUUUCUUGGGCCUCAAUUAAGCAGAGCAGUGUGGCUUUCUCCACUGCAGAGGCAGAAUACAUGAGCGCAGCAGAGGCAACCACUCAAGCUGUUUGGCUCAGAUUUGUGCUAUCAGAUUUUGGUGAAGAACAGGUAGAACCAACUCAGUUGUUGUGUGACAACACUUCGGCUAUUGCUAUAUCAAAGAAUCCAGUUCAUCACCACAAAACUAGACACAUCAAUCGCAGGUUUCAUUUCAUUCGAGAUGCUCUUCAGAAUGGUGAGAUCGAUUUGCUUUAUUGCAAAACUGAAGAACAGGUUGCUAAUAUAUUCACCAAGCCUCUAGCAAGGGAUCGAUAUGAGUAUCUAAGGGAGGCUUAGGUGUUAUCUCAGCACAACACUUAGAAGGGAGUGUUAGUUUAUAAGUGCAGCUGCUGAGAUAGUUUAUUAUUUCAAUUUGAAAAUGUAGCCGUUGGAUAACAGUCCAACUGUGCAGUCAGGAUGUAACUGUGCAUGCCAUGUGUCUCUAUCUCAUAGGGUAGUGAAUGAAUGGCUGAGUUGUAAAUGAUGUAAUAGGAAUGUUCUGAUUCCUAACGGUUUUGUCAGAUGCAAUAUACGUAUGAUUUGCGUUGGAGGUGAGCUAGUAUCCAGCUAGCUCUUCUUCUUCCCUAAGCUCUCUCUCUCUCCUUCUUUAGAUCACAUUUUCUCAUCUAAGAGUUAACAUACAAGAUAAUAGUCUCUGUAUUCUAACAAUUUUGCAUGGUAUGCAAACUCUUUAUUUAACCCUUGGAUUUGGAGAGUUCACUUUAUUUUUGGGGGUUCCCUUCACCAUUGGAUGUGGCUGGUAAGACAUGUAUGAUAAAAAAAAAAAAAAAAAAUUGUACGUAAAUUCGAGGAAAAAAGAUUAUACCUUCAAAAAUUCGAGAAAAGCCAGCAUAAAUUAGAAGAAAAGUAAGGAAAUUUCCUGUUAAAUAGAAAGAAAAAAAAAACACAAUUCAA